GCAGUGAUUGUUCAGUGGUAGAAUUCUGGCCUUCCAUGCUGGAGACCUGGGUUCGAUUCCCAGCCAGUACA
rnacentral:tRNA from 1 species